CGGACGGGUGAGUAAUGUCUGGGAAACUGCCCGAUGGAGGGGGAUAACUACUGGAAACGGUAGCUAAUACCGCAUAACGUCGCAAGACCAAAGAGGGGACCUUCGGGCCUCUUGCCAUCGGAUGUGCCCAGAUGGGAUUAGCUAGUAGGUGGGGUAACGGCUCACCUAGGCGAUGAUCCCUAGCUGGUCUGAGAGGAUGACCAGCCACACUGGAACUGAGACACGGUCCAG
rnacentral:rRNA from 1 species